UAUUUUGACUAUACGAAGGUAUUGAAAUAAGGCUUUAAAUGAGUGCUAAGAGAAUGGUUUUACAAUUAAAAGCUUUCUUUAAUUAAUAAAUUGAAUUUAAUUUUUUUUGUGAAGAAGCAUAAAUAAUAAUUAGGGACAAGAAGACCCUAUGAAUUUUAAUAAAAUUAUAUUAGGGGAAUGCCCUAAAGUUUAAUUUAGUUGGGGUGAUUAAAAAAGAAUAAAUAUCUUUUUGUGUAAGGAAAUAUUAAUUUGUUCCGUUAUUAAUGAUUAAAUGAUAAAAAUACUCUAGGGAUAACAGCGUAAUAAUUUUGGAUAGUUCUUAUAGAUAAAAUAGUUUGCGACCUCGAUGUUGGAUUAGGAUUCUUUUUUAAUGAAGAGGUUAAAAAAAGAAGUUUGUUCAACUUUUAAAUUCCU
rnacentral:rRNA from 1 species